AACGCGAAGAACCUUACCAGGCCUUGACAUGCAGAGAACUUUCCAGAGAUGGAUUGGUGCCUUCGGGAACUCUGACACAGGUGCUGCAUGGCUGUCGUCAGCUCGUGUCGUGAGAUGUUGGGUUAAGUCCCGUAACGAGCGCAACCCUUGUCCUUAGUUACCAGCACGUUAUGGUGGGCACUCUAAGGAGACUGCCGGUGACAAACCGGAGGAAGGUGGGGAUGACGUCAAGUCCUCAUGGCCUUUAUGACCAGGGCUACACACGUACUACAAUGGCCGAUACAAAGGGCAGCGACACUGCGAGGUGAAGCCAAUCCCGUAAAAUCGGUCUCAGUCCGGAUCGCAGUCUGCAACUCGACUGCGUGAAGUCGGAAUCGCUAGUAAUCGUGAAUCAGAAUGUCACGGUGAAUACGUUCCCGGGCCUU
rnacentral:rRNA from 1 species